rnacentral:rRNA from 1 species
GCUACCUGACCUAGCGGCGGACGGGUGAGUAAUGCUUAGGAAUCUGCCUAUUAGUGGGGGACAACAUUCCGAAAGGAAUGCUAAUACCGCAUACGCCCUACGGGGGAAAGCAGGGGAUCUUCGGACCUUGCGCUAAUAGAUGAGCCUAAGUCAGAUUAGCUAGUUGGUGGGGUAAAGGCCUACCAAGGCGACGAUCUGUAGCGGGUCUGAGAGGAUGAUCCGCCACACUGGGACUGAGACACGGCCCAGACUCCUACGGGAGGCAGCAGUGGGGAAUAUUGGACAAUGGGCGAAAGCCUGAUCCAGCCAUGCCGCGUGUGUGAAGAAGGCCUUUUGGUUGUAAAGCACUUUAAGCGAGGAGGAGGCUACUUGGAUUAAUACUCUAGGAUAGUGGACGUUACUCGCAGAAUAAGCACCGGCUAACUCUGUGCCAGCAGCCGCGGUAAUACAGAGGGUGCGAGCGUUAAUCGGAUUUACUGGGCGUAAAGCGUGCGUAGGCGGCUUUUUAAGUCGGAUGUGAAAUCCCUGAGCUUAACUUAGGAAUUGCAUUCGAUACUGGGAAGCUAGAGUAUGGGAGAGGAUGGUAGAAUUCCAGGUGUAGCGGUGAAAUGCGUAGAGAUCUGGAGGAAUACCGAUGGCGAAGGCAGCCAUCUGGCCUAAUACUGACGCUGAGGUACGAAAGCAUGGGGAGCAAACAGGAUUAGAUACCCUGGUAGUCCAUGCCGUANACGAUGUCUACUAGCCGUUGGGGCCUUUGAGGCUUUAGUGGCGCAGCUAACGCGAUAAGUAGACCGCCUGGGGAGUACGGUCGCAAGACUAAAACUCAAAUGAAUUGACGGGGGCCCGCACAAGCGGUGGAGCAUGUGGUUUAAUUCGAUGCAACGCGAAGAACCUUACCUGGUCUUGACAUAGUAAGAACUUUCCAGAGAUGGAUUGGUGCCUUCGGGAACUUACAUACAGGUGCUGCAUGGCUGUCGUCAGCUCGUGUCGUGAGAUGUUGGGUUAAGUCCCGCAACGAGCGCAACCCUUUUCCUUAUUUGCCAGCGGGUUAAGCCGGGAACUUUAAGGAUACUGCCAGUGACAAACUGGAGGAAGGCGGGGACGACGUCAAGUCAUCAUGGCCCUUACGACCAGGGCUACACACGUGCUACAAUGGUCGGUACAAAGGGUUGCUACCUAGCGAUAGGAUGCUAAUCUCAAAAAGCCGAUCGUAGUCCGGAUUGGAGUCUGCAACUCGAC